AUCAAAAAUACAAUGACUGGUCAGAGCUACCCUUACAUCACUGUGGAUCGCUUAACUGCAAUUGCAAAGAGAGAUGAGCCUGCUAGCGAUGAAGCUCUGUUAUUAACAGUGU
rnacentral:ribozyme from 1 species